rnacentral:tRNA from 1 species
GCCUGGGUGGCUCAGUCAGUUAAGCGUCUGACUUUGGCUCAGGUCAUGAUCUCACAGUUCGUGAGUUCGAGCCCCACAUCAGGCU